AAUUUAAUUGUUGUUCCCCCACACCCCACAUUUACCUAUUUGAUAUAUUUUCAUAGAACCUUGUAUAUUUCUUUAUUGUUAUAUUCGGAUGAUUAAUGAAGCAAUGAUACGGUUCAUUUAUCUUGCAUUUACUAAGUUGAGAUUGAGUUGUGACAUUUUCCCUUGACUAUGCACAAAAGCUAGACAUGGGCUGGUCAGUCCAGGUCAUGAAGUACGACCAGACUUCCCUGUUCUAAUCUCCCUUUCCCCGUUUACACAAUACAACUGUCUAAGCAUUAUUAUUUAUGUAUCCGUAUCCAGACGUUCCUGCGAAGGGACCAAUCAUGUGAUUGUUCUCCAGACAUGUUUGCUCAAUAGCUGCCCACAUGAUUCUUCUAGACAUUAUCAAAUGUUUAUCAGGUGACCAGUGCUUCCUUUCUGUACACUAUAUAAGCUGAAGCCUGUCUAAUAAACUUUGGUCUAUGUUUGAACUGCAUCUCGGUGUCAGUGUCUUUCAUGGCCCCUGAUAUAUAUCAGAACUCUCUGCUGCUCACCUCAGACCUCGUCUCUUUACUACAGAUUCAACGAAAACUUCAUACCUCUAGACCUGCUUAGAAUUAGAUUCUAACAGUUGGGCGCUCGUCCGGCGACAGGGGGGUGAGCCUCCUCCCGACAGAACCGGAGACCGAAAUUCGAACACCGCAGAUCGGGGAGGACCUACAGAAAGGGGUAAGUGUCGCGAUAUUUCUAAUAAAUUUGAAAUACAGCGCUUACCCCUGUAGAGUCCCAGUAGGACCCAUAUCUUGUGCUCGAGACAAGAUCGGUCAGUUUCACUCGGCCCACGUGGGGCAGGUGGCCCAGAAAUCGCCACCGUUGGCUAAUUGAUUUACGAAUUAAUUGCUAGUAACGAAGUGAUAGUCGCUCACGAGUAAAAGAAAGAAAUAAAUUGACAACGAGUGAUUUCUUGUCAAUUAAAUUUCACGGGUGCGGUAAUCGAGAUUACCAGCACAUGCAGCAUUGACUGCGUACGGAGCGAGGUCGAAUAUACAGUUAGAGCUCGCUGUAUAUUUGAGAUCGCGGUGUUAUUGUUAUUCGUUAUUGUUGAGUAAUCAUCAACGAAACGUUGAAUUGAAUAUAAAACGAGCAUUGCCCACUAUCAAAGAAAUUUAUUAAAACUAUAUGAAUAACAUUUAUGACAUUUUAUGAAAACUGGAUUUUUGCAAAUUUCAAAUAAUUUGCCAAACUAAUAUAUAACUUCUAAAGAACGAAACGAUACGUAAAUGUAUUGAGGCUGAGUAGAGGAGCACAGAAAACCCGGGUGUUUGUCAAUUGCUUAUUUGUGCUUAUUGCUGUUUGCUUGUUAUUGCUGCUAUUAUUUGUUUACAUUGUGUUGAAGAUGGGCGAUUCUGCCACGGCCAGGCAAAAGCCUGAUGAAUUUAUGUAUACAAAUAAUAAAGGUUUUUAUGUUGAACUGUACGUCACUUAGCGGUUAGUAAUAUAAUAACUUUGCAUUGAAAACCCCCAACGCAAGAUGCGCUGCCAUAUUUUAUGUCGAAUAGUACCAGCCGAAGUUUAUCGUCCCCACAAAUUGCUGUAAAAUACGUGAAUGUUUUGCAAUCUCACAAGAAUUAUGAGCACCUCACAGGGGCAGAUUUAUACUAUUUUGUUGAAAACAUUUGAGAGCGAUGUAAAAAAAAAAAAAAAAAUAAAUAAAUAAAAAACAUAAUUGAUACGUGCCGCUGUCUGAUUCGGGAAAACCAUGUGACUGAAGAUGAGGGGACUGCAGCCUCUCGUCAUCCACUCACACGGGAAGAUCAUGAAUAUCAUGAUAUGCUUUUUUUAAUCAGCUGCACGUUUGUCUAAAUAAACGGUUUGGCAUUUGCCAGUAUUUAUCAGUUGCAUUAAACGGAAAGAUAAAACCAAAUGAAACUGCCUCUGAAUUUUGCACACGUUUUAAAGUAUUAUGAGUUUACUCUAGAUUACCGAUUGACAAAGUCUGAGUGCACUGUUACAAAUAUGCUGUUGAACAAUAUGAAUCGUAGGUACCGGUAAGUGAAAUCUGUUGGAUAUGAAUGUGAAUAGACUGAUUUGUGAGUCUGAUGCAUCUGGUGAACAUGCUAUGUUUUCAGUGCAAGUCUCAUCGAAUGGGAAAAAGCUUGCUUAAGCACCGGAAAGGAAACUGAGAUUUGAUAUAAUGUGUUAUUAUGUGGACAAAGGGGCCACAUGAAAUGUGACUGUCGUUCAAAGGGGGGUGCAAUUUUAUUCCAAGGGCGCCACCACGUAGACAGUCAAUGCAACAGCCAAAGCAAGUGCAUCAGAAACUAUCUGACAGUAAUUACCAGACAAACUGGCAUAACAAAACACAAUGAAAUGUUCUGACCCAUUACACCACCUCUGGAGACAUACAGUGAUCCUCUGCCUAUGGGGGGAGGAAGUAAGAAGGCCGACCAAGACCCAGUAGCCGCCCGCAUACCACAUGGUGUAGACACCUUGACUAACCCAUGCCUAUGAACUCAGUCAAACAAUGAUACAGGUUUCAUUGAUAUGAAACCAUACAAAGUUAAACUUAAACCUGUGUACAUCAAACAAUAUCCUUUGUCAAAAGAAAAGGAGGAUGGCAUUAAACCUAUUAUUUACCAUUUUGUUUAACAGGGUGUCCUCAUACCUACUCGCCAUACAACACACCGAUUAACCCGGUGGUGAAUGCUGAUGGAAGGACAUACUGUCUUACAGAAGAUUUAAGAGCACUCAAUAAACUGAUAAUUCAUCUGUCUCCGAUUGUUCCAGAUGUGCCGACUGUUAUAAAUUUUACCAUGCACACAUACGUAUUUCUGUCAUUGAUUGUGUGCUGCUUUGUUUCUCUGUUCCAGUGCAUCCAGACAAACAGCCACUGCUAGCCUUAUAGGAUAGGGGGUGCAAAAAAAAAAAAAAAAAAAAAAAAAAAAAAAAAAAAAAAACUAAGAAGGGUAUGUUGACUCACCAUCCGUCCUCUCCGCUGCGGUGAAAAAAGACAUUGAGAAAAAAAAAAGAUCAACUUGCUGUUUUCGGGUUUGCUGUCUGCUGUAUGCCGAUGACAUCAUGGUCUCUGCUCUGACUGAAAAGAACUGUGAGGAAGCCUCCAUUAUCGUCUGCAAUAUUUUGGUGGACGCUGGUUUCAAAGCAUCAAAAGAAAAGCUCCAGUGGGUCAAGCAAAAGUUCUCAUGCCUGGGUCACGUCUUAAUGCCAGGUCUUCGAAAAAACCUCCACAGAUCAGAUUGAACUGAUCUGGAAGAUUAAAUUCCCACGAACUGUGUAACAGCUCCAAAGUUUUCUGGAGUUCAUAAACUGUUGUCGCUCAUGGAAACCUGAGUGUGCUGCCCAUGACGGACAUUUGCGGAGCACGAUUGAUCACAAGGCAUCGCCUGCAUCACUGAUAUGCUGGACUGAUGAAGCAGAGACUCAUUUCAUGGCACUGAAACACGCCAUUACUACGGCCCCAACUCUGGGCCAUCCGAACUAUGCAAGGACUUUUCACCUGCAUGCGUGAGAGGCGAAGGGUGUGGCUCUGGGUAUCCUUUGGCAACAACAAGGUUGCACUUAUAGGCCAGUGGCAUAUCUGUCUAGAAAACUAGAUAAUGUAGUAACAGGUAUGCCUAAAAUGUCUUUAUGCAGUGGCUGCUGAUGUUCUGGUUGUACAGAUGGCUGAGAGAACGGUAUUAUCACAUCCAUUGACACUCUAUACAUCACAUCAAGUAGGUGCCAUAUUACACAACAUGCAAACACAACACAUGACGGCACAGAGGCGGUCUGGGUAUGAGGCUACGCUGUUGGCAACCAAAAAUGUAACGAUCCAGCCCACUUUUAACAUUAAUUCCACAGUUUUGGGACUGGUAGACAUGACUGAGCACGAUCUAAAACACGAUUGCAUUGUUGGAUUGACUACUUCCUGUUCCUCUAGGGCCGAUUUAAUGGAAUCGCCCCUAGAUGGGGGGGUCAGAUCUAUGUGGAUGGCUCAUAUACAAAGCCAUCGGACGGUGUCUACCUGUGUGGUUAUGCUGUGGUGUCGGAUACUGGUGAGGUUAUCGAAGCCUUUGCUCUAAAUUACAACUCAGCACAAGCUGCAGAAUUGGUAACUCUAUUACGAGCUUGUGAGCUAAUGAAAGGAAAAAAGCCACAAUCUACACGACUCAAAAUAUGUGUAUUCUAAAUUUUGUAAAAACAUGGGAAGCCUGAGAUUUUAAGACAGCAGAUGGUAAGCCUAUAGUUUAUUCAAAUUUGAUAUGACGGUUGACAAAAGCAGUACAGCUACCGUCUGAAGUGGCAAUAGUGAAAGUAAAAGGUCAUGAAUCAGGAAAUGAUGACCAGGCUGUGGGAAACAAGAAGAGCAGAUGAGGCUGCAAAAGAAGCAGCUCAAGCUCAAAUUAAAUCACUAUUUGAGUAUGAUGUCAAAACAGACCUUGCUAUGGUUGUGCAAGUGACUAACAUGAAAUUGAUAUAAAAUUUUUGCAGAGUCAACCGACGCAGGCUGACCUCGAAUAUUGGAGCAAGUACGGAUGUGCAGCAGACGAGAAAGGGAGAGUAGCACUUCCAAAACUGGGACUGGUAAUUUUAAUAAGAUAUUACCAUGGUCUAUCACAUACCAGUAGUACAAAGGUGACACAAGCAAUUAAUCCAUUUUAUUAUAUUGCAGAU